UAUUACACUGUGUAAGCUACAUCAGUCAGAGGAGGGCAUUCAAAACGCGUCUUGUUUCCCUUGAUCUUCAAUAUUUAACUAAUUUCAGGGCAGUUCAAAAAGCUACUUUGACUUCAUGUCACUGUUUUUAGCUUUGUAAUUGUAUUUGUGCACAAUCCACUGCCGGUCACCACUUGCCCUCUUAAAUAGGCCGAUCCUCUCCAAAAAUAAUAUUUCCGGGGGAUGCUUAAUGGAAGAGCCUCGCACAGAGAGAAGGCACUUGUGAAUUUACCUGUGAAUUAACCAUGACACCGGACCAUUAAAGGGACCUUAUAAAAGUCAAGUAGAAGGCCACUAUUCAUCCACUCCAUCCCGAUCAGUUUAAAGUCCUUUUCAUCUAAAACGUAUCAUCGGCAGAAACACAAUGAUCGGUAGAGGACAAACACUCAAUUAACAAAUGUGCAUAGAACAGCAUAUUUUGACCUGCUUUACUAUGGCACUUGUUUAUGACAGAAUAUACUAUUUUACAUAAUCUUUCCUUCUUUACGUACUUUAUUCAUCUGUCUGUUACUUUGGACAGUCUGUUCUGCUGGCAUUUGUAGCACACAGGUUUAUACAUGUAGGUAAAUUCCCCCAAAAUAAGCCACAGAUGUUUGAAGACGUGACCAUUUGGAAACGCCACCAAGUCUUUUUGUAAGUAUACAUAUAGAUAUUACACAUGCAAUGUUUUCAUGGUUUAUAGAUACUUGUUACUUAUGAUGUGUUCUCUAGAUCUUUAGAUCCCUAGAAGACCUCAUGAGGUGUUGAUGGCUGUGUGUCUGUACGGGUAAGUCCACGUUGUUUUGGAAUAAUGAAUAAGGUUGGGUAUUGUUUGGCGUUUUCCUGAUACUGGUGCUAAAUUGAUCAAAACUGUUCUGGCUUUUUUCAAAAAAAUAAAAGCACAAAAAAUUGAAGUGCUUGGAUUUGCGGAGGCUAUGUCUGUAUCUGUGUCUUCUAGGGAAAAGGAACUGUUCCAGGUGAUGCUGACAUCAGCAGAACAGCUUGGAAGGCAGACCAGAAUUUAUGUGUGUCCAGAUGCAGGCCGGCGAGUCCAGCAACCACUCACAAGGAGGUGAAAAGCGAUGGCGAAUGAGAAGAUGUCCACCUUCCUGCCUCACACAUGGAACAGGAUUGUCUACAGUGCAUCCAUGACGAAAUGAAGGGACUGAAUGGAGAAAACCGGCUUUGUUGCGGUGGUUUUGAACGACUUAAGAAAAUGACAUCCUCCUAACCAUGAAAACAGCACCUAAAGGCCACGGAGAGGACAACCUGGAUACAUGCCAGCCCCUUUAGGAGGAUUCCUGAUCCAACAAACGAUGUCUACCAGUGAUCGAAGGAUUCCACCAAUGACCUUACUUACUGUGUAUUCAGCAUUUCCCUUUUUGUUGGGGAGUCCAUUGAUUUGAAUGCUUGAAUUAUUUUGCAAAUUCUUGAAUAAACUUACAGAAGAAA